rnacentral:misc_RNA from 1 species
AACGGUCUAUACCUGCGGUACCUGCGGAAGGAUCAUUAGUGAACGCCCUCACGGGCUUAUAACUAUUCCAAACCUCUGUGAACCGUGCCCUUCGGGGCUAUUUUACAAACAUGGUGUAAUGAACGUCAUAUAUCAUAACAAAACAAAACUUUCAACAAUGGAUCUCU